CGCUACCGCCAUCCUGCCACCUAAUGCCCAGUUUCGUAACUAUAACAGUACGCAACGACGACCUCGACGACCUUCUCAACGUCCUCAUCAUCAUAUCGCUCCGUGUCGAUGAAGUAGAUAUCGCGUAGAUUUAGGAAAAUAAAUAUCUCACGAUGAUAGUUUGUUCUGCUAGAUGUCGUUAGACGUUCAUUUCUUUAGGGUAUAAUGAAUUUGAAACCCCAACUGACAGCUGAUUCUUUUUGUACCGUUGUUUAGUUUUGAGCUCCGUUAGUUCUCUUAUAAACAAAUAUCACAUAGAAAUCUGAUAAAAUAUUAAAAGAUCUCCAAUGUCAGCGUCGACAUCAGCUAAAAAUAUGCGUCAGGAAAAAUAUGAAGUUUGCAGAUAUACAUGAUCAAUUGAGAUUCUGGAGGAUGAAAUCGAUGAAAUACUGGGUCUUCGUAUAAACACUAGGCCAAUUUGGAAGAGCACAACUGUAGCUGAACGAGAUCACUCCGAUACUGUACCACACUUUGCCGAGUGGAUACAUCAUCGGUCCGCCACUGUCGCCCUGCAACAUGCAAUGUCAAACAAAGGUUAAACUGAUCUGCGGUUGGAAUCUGGUUUGGAAACUUUGUCUCGUGGAGAUAGUGAACUUGUGAAAAUGUCUUUUGAAAAUUCUGUAGCAGAGCUGCUUACCUGACACGCGUCGCUGACACCGGAAGGAAAGCCAGCGCACAACACACGAUCGUCGAUAAUUGAGCGACUCAAUUCAUAUACCGCUUUGCAUUGGUUUUGUGCUACAAGCGGUAAUUGCACUUGCUGCAGAGUAGAAGCGGCAACACCAUCUAAGAGGGGACGAAAAAAAUUCCAUCAAAUCUUUAUUUUGAGUGGUGACGAUUGUUCGUACAAUUUUUGCAAAUAAUCGACCGGAUUUUACAGGA